CUGUUGAAGUUCACUCAUUAAUUCAGCACAAACUCGCUGAACAUAUAGUAUGUGUCAGGACUGCCACCAAAACAAAGAGACAAAGUCUUCAUGAGGCUCUGGUCUGUAGAGGAAGAAGCCCAAUAAACAAGUGAAUUGUAUAAUAAUUGGAAGAUGGUAAGUGCCACAGAGCAAGAAAAAGCAUGACCAUCGGUAGGGAGUACGGUGGGAGGUGACAGUGUUUAAACAUGGUGGUCCUUCGAGGAGGGCACUUGUUGGGAUGAGCACUGGGUGUUGUGUGGAAGCCAAUUUGACGAUAAGUUAUAUUGAAACAAACAUGGCGGUCUUAGGAAGAGCUACAGAGCAAAGGUGGCAUUGAGCAAAGACUUGAAGGAAGUGAAGCAGGGCCCUUAAGGGUUAUCUGGGGGUCAACGAAUGAAAGUGCCUUGGGGUCGGAGCAAGGUGUGUUACAGAAACAGCAAGGAGGUCAAUGGAGCUGGGGUGGACCGAGUGAGGAAGGGAGCAGGUGGCCACAGCUUGUAAGGCCCUGCGGGCCUGUAAGGACUUUGGCUUUUCUAAGAUUGAGCUGGGAGCCAUGGGUGCAUUUGAGGCAGAUAAAUGGCUUCGUAUAUUAUAACAGUAUCCAUGUGCCCAUGUUUUUGAGGCAGGUGGAUGAGCAUACAGGCUGCGACAGCCACCCAGGCAAAAUGAAGAUGGUGUCAAUGGCAGAGCAGUAGCAGGAGUGACAGGUGGUCACAUCCAGACACGCCGUGAAGGUGGAGCUGACAGGGUUUGCUGAGGCAUUAAAAUUAGGGUAUGAGGGAAAAGUGGAGGCUACGAGGAAGCCCGGGCUUCGUUAGCUUCCAUAACCAGAUGGUUCGAUGGCUCCCCGCUCACCACGUUUUCUCUCCCGCUAACCAGCGCACUACACGAGGAAAAGGAAACCACUCUUCUAGGUCUUUCACAUUUGGGGCAAUAACCCGGUGACUGUGAAAAUAAGGCUCAGAGGAACACAGGUGUGCCUGUGCAGAGUGUCCAUAGUGCCCAUGAAGUUGGGGGUCUUUGCUGCUAUUGGCUCAAAUACAACAAUAGGCUCCUUUUCCAGGCUCCCUAACACACACAAAACUGUUUAGUCUGAGAGGGAAUGGGAGUCCCUGGCAGAACGUGGAAUAUCUAUCUCGGGAGUUCUGCUACCUGUUUUGCUCUAAUGACUAAUUUUUUUUUUUUUUAAGCUGCAGAAAAUAUAAAGGCAUGCCAAUUCACCACAAGUUUCCCUCUGCAUCUGGGAAAAAGCUAUUUCCUUGCUCCUAAUUUCUCCUUUUCCCUCUCUACCCAAAUACAUGUAUUUUGUCCUUGAGGAGACACCUGGGGUUUUGAAUGCAUGAACAUGUGACCACACACCUAAGUGUGAUCCUUAGCAACCACCACAAAUCAAAUAGGAGUGAUGCCAUGUUUGGACCAGAUCUGAUUUCAUAGAGAUCAUCAAUAAAGUCGGGUUCCAAGUCUUCCCAAACUGGAGCAGAUUAUAAUGAUACGUGGAGGCAGGUGCCCAGUGGUACCAGACAGCUCAAGAAGUUUCAGGGCUGAGUGGCAGUGAGGAUGAUGAGCAGUGGACGUGUUCCGGGGCAUAAGAUGAGCACCGCCUGGUGACAGAUCAGAACUGAAAGAGUUCGUUGUUGACAAGCACUGGCCACGCAAUGGGCAUGAAGACAAGGGAGAGGAGGUAUGAAGAACUAAGGACAACUCUGCAUUCAAUUUGCCACAUGCAUUAACUUAUGUAAGUCAGUGCCUGCAUGGAGGAGAAAGGGUGUCCACACUCCAGUCCCCUAUUACGCAUAUCUGGGUCAUCUGUUGCAAAUUUCUGGAAGAUUGACUGUUGACCGUAAGAGUUACUUACGUCCUUUCUAAGGAUUGAAAAAUUAAGUUUCCAGCUACUUGAAUGCAGCGUCCCUGUCUCACCUCCACCGUCAUCUCCGAGAACCCCAUCCUGCAGAGAUCUCAUUCGGAAUAGUGUGAGUUGAGAGCGGUCUACCACUCAAAAGUUCGCUUUGAUAAUAAAGCUGUCACCUUAUUUGCCAGUUGAUGUCUUAAAGUUGCAAGUUCCAUUUCCACAGCCCAGGUAAGAUGCUAUCGCCCCAUGCUCCACGUACACGCACCUGAGUUGUUUGGGAUUAAACUGAAGACAGCAAGCAAAAAUCACCUUCCCUACAUAUAGAAAUAACAAAAGUGACCAAUUAUGAUAGCCUACUGUAACAUUAUAUAAUUUCUAAUCUUCACCACCUGAAAAAGCAGACAUUAGUAUACUAUUUUGUAAAUGUAAACCUUGAAGCUCCAAGAGGUUCAGUAAUCUAUACAGCUACAAAGUGACUGGGAUGGGUUUUGAAUCCUGUGAUUUCUGACCAAAGCCGACAUUAUAUUGUAUAUACAUUUUUUUCCUUAGACAGUGGUUCUUAGCCCUGACAACACAUUAGAAUCAACUGGGAAGCCUUUAAAACUAACACCCAGGCCCAUUCAGAACAUCUCAAUCACAGCCUCAGGGGUUGGAGGGAAAACUCAAGCACCUGCAAUUUACAAAGAUUUCCAGGUGGUUCUAUGUGCAGUUGGGACUGAGGACCAUUUAUCUAAACUCUGCUAAUUUCAGAAAUGUGUAAAAUAAAGAUUAACUUAAAGGAGCAGCUUUUGAAUUAUUCACUUCAUUAAUUAGCUUAAAUGAAAGACUUAUUUUGCAUCAUUUACUCAAUGAAUUCAUUUCCCUUCAGACCCUUUAGGAUUCCCUAAAGAAUCCUACAUCACUUUCUUUGUUUUUAGAUGAGCUAUACAAUCGUUUCUGGUGAUUUUUCAUUCAAAAAGUAUUUUUGAAAGCCCCCUUUGUGUUUUACUGUCAGUUAUGAGAGACAAAGAAAAAUGAGCCAAGGACUUUGUGAUCAUUAUUGCCACAAAUACCUAGGGAACAUUCUGUUGAUACUGAACAUUGUAAAAGCUUUUGGAUAUAUAGUAGCAAACAAUGAACAUGUAAUUCCUGUCCUCCUGGAACUUACAGUCUAGAACAGAGACAGGAGCUCCACAUGUAAAUCAGUAAAUAAACAUAUAAUUACAGCUUAUGGUUAAUGUUACAAAGAAAACAAACUGACAAGGUCCCUUUUAGAUUGAGUAGUCAAGGAUAGUUUCUAGGAAACAGCUUCAAAAUCAUGAGGCUCUUAGACAGUUGUCUGGUGUAUUCGUAAUAGCUAAUGAGUACACCCAGGAUACACUUUUGAUGUCUGACUUCUUUCUCUAGUAUAAUGAUUUUAAGAUGCAUCCAUAUUGCCAAGCAUAUUAAUAGUUCAUUUCUUAUUAUCACUAAGUAGAACUUGAGUGUAUGAAUAUACCCUUGGUGUUUUUUAUGCACAUGAGAUUUUAGGUAUCACUGAGUUAGACUGUUAGUUCCUUAAGGACAGGGCAAUGACUAAUACAUUUAUUGUCCUUUCCAAAACUUGACUGAUGAUAUUGGAGUUAGCAGGUAUUCAAUACACAUUAGCUGAUUGGAUGAAUUUUUAUGCUCACAGAUAAUACCCAUUGUUCUCUUUCCAACGUCCUUACCCACGACAUACAUAGACUCUUUUUUUUUCAACUUAAGCAGAUAUGAAUUUCAGCUAGUAAAAGACAGGAGCAAUUGAAUAUUUCCAUAUAAGGCAAAUGAUUCAUUUGGGGUGAAGGCAAGGAAUCCCAUCAACGGAUUAUACCUGUUAAUCAAGACUCUUUAAAAUCAAGUGUGUCUAACACAAGAAGCUGUUGCCCCAUUUCUGUUUUUUUUUUCUUAAUUUUUUUAAUGUUUAUUUUUGAGAGAGACAGAUCAUGAGCAGGGGAGGGGCAGAGAGAGAGAGAGAGACAGACGGACAGAAUAUGAGGCAGGCUCCAGGCUCUGAGCUGCCAGCACAGAGCCUGAUGCAGGGCUUGAAUCCACAAAUCAUGAGAUCAUGACCUGAGCUGAAGUUGGAUGCUUAACCAACUGAGCCACCCAGGCGCUCCUAUUGCCCCAUUUCUAAACGUGCCCAUGGUUGGUUCUUACACUUUAACAGUAAUGUUAAUUACACAAAAUUCAGAUGCAUAGAGAGUUGAGGCUACUACUAUAAGACCUUAGGAAAACCUGGCUUACCUUUAUUUAUGUCUGCCUCCAUUGUAGCCUGAGUCACGGCAUCAAGAAUCUAGUAGGUGCUUAAUAAAUGCUUCUGCAAUUGAACUGAAUGUAGACAAAUUGCUUCAAUAGCAAAUAUGAACAUUUAAAAUGUGCU